UCCACCCCAACCCAAACUCCGCCCGUCAUUUCCACCCCUAGUACUAAUACAGUACUCUAUACGAAAUAGGUCUCCCAAGCAAUUCGCCGCAUCUUGCAGAAAUUAGGAACAAGAUUUGCCACGGCUUCCCGCAGAGAUCGAAAUCGCAAGAACGAAUAUGACAAGAAAAUGGAGGAACGCUGCGCAGAAACUGCCACGUUCAUUGCGACUUCUUAGGAAUAUAUCUGCAUCUCACAGUGCAGUGUUUGUUUUGUUGGCUGAGAGUCACAAGCUGCGGCUAAAACUGCGGAAACGAAAGAUUCAAGUUAAGAAGCUUACGGAAAAGGUGAAGAAAAUGCUUAAAAUGAUCAAAGAAAAAUGGGACGAGGAGGCUGACAGUAAGUCAAAGAUUCUGAAGCUUGAUAAGAUUGUUAUAAAAACCGUGGACAUCUAAACGCUGUGGUCAAGCUGGCUCGCUCUUCGCAUGCAGGACUCCAGAUCCCGCUAACCAUACAUACUCGUGUGAAACAGAAUGCCCGGGAAUGGCUCACUGAGCAGGCCCAGAAGGAAGGGCUUGAAGUUGAAGAACCCCGCUGAUAAGGAGAAAUCUGAAACAAUGUUUGAAGAGGAGGACAGAAGUUGGCUUUCAGGAGAUUGGUAGAUUGGCUGACUGUUGAUAUAACUCCUGUUUUUUUCUCUUCUGGUACAUAAAAAAGUUGGAAGGAUAUGAAACUCUGUUUUUUGGUUUGGAAUAUUUUUCCAUCUGGUAUUGGUCUUAACAUUUUCAUUAACUUUAGCUCAUAGCAGCGCUAGCUGAUGUGAUCUGUUAAUGUGAGAUCAAUUCAUAAUGAAUGGUUUAGACGGGAGAUUUCUUUUUGCCUUGGAUCAAAAUCCAAAAUUAUCUGCAGAAUAUGAAAGUCACGUGUCAUUGCUGUGUU